CCUACGGGAGCUGCAGUGGGGAAUCUUGCACAAUGGGCGCAAGCCUGAUGCAGCCAUGCCGCGUGUGUGAAGAAGGCCUUCGGGUUGUAAAGCACUUUCAGCGGGGAGGAAGGCGUUAAGGUUAAUAACCUUGUCGAUUGACGUUACCCGCAGAAGAAGCACCGGCUAACUCCGUGCCAGCAGCCGCGGUAAUACGGAGGGUGCAAGCGUUAAUCGGAAUUACUGGGCGUAAAGCGCACGCAGGCGGUCUGUCAAGUCGGAUGUGAAAUCCCCGGGCUCAACCUGGGAACUGCAUUCGAAACUGGCAGGCUAGAGUCUUGUAGAGGGGGGUAGAAUUCCAGGUGUAGCGGUGAAAUGCGUAGAGAUCUGGAGGAAUACCGGUGGCGAAGGCGGCCCCCUGGACAAAGACUGACGCUCAGGUGCGAAAGCGUGGGGAGCAAACAGGAUUAGAUACCCGUGUAGUC
rnacentral:rRNA from 1 species